rnacentral:rRNA from 1 species
UACGAGGGGGGCAAGCGUUGUUCGGAAUUAUUGGGCGUAAAGGGCGCGUAGGCGGUGCGGUAAGUCACCUGUGAAAACUCUGGGCUCAACUCAGAGCCUGCAGGCGAAACUGCCGUGCUGGAGUGUGGGAGAGGUGCGUGGAAUUCCUGGUGUAGCGGUGAAAUGCGUAGAUAUCAGGAGGAACACCUGUGGCGAAAGCGGCGCACUGGACCACAACUGACGCUGAGGCGCGAAAGCUAGGGGAGCAAACAGG